AUGGUUACACCAGAUUAUCUCCAGUGGCCUGGACAUGGACAAGCUUCAGCCAGUGAAACGGGAGGGGUUUGCGUUGCUUCAUGCCAGAACCUUGUUCUGUCACUCAGGGGCUCCUCUAUGGGAAGAGACAGCGGGCUCGGGGGGUUCCAGCAGGAAAGGAGAAACGCAGAAGGUUGAACUGGUGCUCUGAGAGGGGACAAGACUUGGACCCUCAGCUCACAUCCCAGGGAAGUGCCGGCUCCCCAGGACAGCCCGGGCACUGCAGGCAGCUUCUGAGCUCCCAAGGAAGUGCCACAGACAGAACCAUGCAUGCUGAGCUGCGUGCUGCAGGGAUACCACGUUCCAGACAGAAGAGGAAGUGCUGAAAUACACAGAGAAAGAACCUUCUCUGCCCUGGGAUGAAGUCCUGGCUGAAAGUCAGUGCAAAGCCCUCUACCAGCAAAAGGAGAUCGUCUUGGGUGAGACUGAUUUCUGGCAUCUGCAAACCAAUGGCAGCUGAAGACUUUAGCUAAGAUGUAGGGC
rnacentral:lncRNA from 1 species